rnacentral:sRNA from 1 species
UGGUAGAUGCACCCUGAUUUUGAUUCCCCCGGUCGGUGACAACUGGGGGUUUUUUAU